AACAAUUCAAAGGAGAAAACUAACUGCCUAAUUUAUCCACAAAAUAGUGAACGAGAAACUUAGUUACACAGUAACAAACUACAACCACUGAAUCCAGGCUCCUGACUUGGAAAUAGGCACAUACAGAAUGUGACUGCGUCAACUUAAGCAUGCUAGUUGGUGUCCAAUCCUCCCCUAAUCAGGGACAGUGGUGUAAUAGUACAGCAUAAAGAUUAUUAUGUGGUCAUUGAAUAAAAAAAAUCUAUAGGGUGUACCAAUGCUUUUUUUAUAACAAAAUCCAUACUAUAAGUUAUUGUACAAGUAAUAAGUGAAUUAUAAUUUGUACAAAAUGCUACAUGUUCACAGACAACGGAAUUUAUUACAAAGGAUAAUAAUAAUAUAUACUGGAAUGGUCCUGGGUCCAAUUGAUUUUAAUAUGUUUAUGUGAUGUAUGUUACUGAAAUUCUUCUGCAAAUACAGGGCCACCCGAUAUUACCAGUAGAAAGACCCCAAUAGAUAUACAUUGUAAGAAGAUGUGGUAAGCGUGCCAAUGAGACUAUUAUCCAUUCAAAUCACAAUUUUCAAUUAUCUUCAAUUUCUACGGAAGAUUGGCUGUCAAAAUGCUAACAUUCCAAUUUUCAAUAACAGUUAACAGCAAAU
rnacentral:lncRNA from 1 species